GUUAAUAGUGGUAAAACGUCCAUCGUUUUCAGUUCUAAGCAUCGCGUUUUGGCAGUGAGGAACGAGAAUUCCAAGGACGAAGCAUUCUAUUGGCCGAAAGCGAGCAAACAGGGAGCAUCUGUAGUUCAAGUGUCGCCCUCGCAAAGAGAAUCUGUUUCUAUAAACAAAGCCACGGUUGUGUGGGGGCGCUGAAAGUCAUAUAUUAUCGCAUUUUUUUUCUUAUUUCAGAAUGGUAUUGAUGCUUUCAACAGGUAAUAAAUCUGCAUUCAUCAGGACUUAAAUUAGAGUGUCAAGAUGACGCCAGUUUGUUUUCUUGCCGAAUCCUGCUGGUUAAAUUGCACAACUGGGUGUCUAAUUUCCUCUGAUAAAUAAAUUCGUUAGAAGCUGUGUCAUUCA